GCGAUGAAGCGGGAGGUUGCGGCAGAUACACAAAAUGUGUAUGGUGUCGGUUUUUCCGUGGAGUAUGUCCGAUUUUAAACCGGGCGACA
rnacentral:ncRNA from 1 species